GAUGAACGCUGGCGGCGUGCCUAAUACAUGCAAGUCGAGCGAACAGACGAGGAGCUUGCUCCUCUGACGUUAGCGGCGGACGGGUGAGUAACACGUGGAUAACCUACCUAUAAGACUGGGAUAACUUCGGGAAACCGGAGCUAAUACCGGAUAACAUGUUGAACCGCAUGGUUCAACAGUGAAAGACGGUUUUGCUGUCACUUAUAGAUGGAUCCGCGUUGCAUUAGCUAGUUGGUAAGGUAACGGCUUACCAAGGCAACGAUGCGUAGCCGACCUGAGAGGGGGAUCGGCCACACUGGAACUGAGACACGGUCCAGACUCCUACGGGAGGCAGCAGUAGGGAAUCUUCCGCAAUGGGCGAAAGCCUGACGGAGCAACGCCGCGUGAGUGAAGAAGGUCUUCGGAUCGUAAAACUCUGUUAUUAGGGAAGAACAAAUGUGUAAGUAACUAUGCACGUCUUGACGGUACCUAAUCAGAAAGCCACGGCUAACUACGUG
rnacentral:rRNA from 1 species